UUUCGUCGUCCGUCCUUCCGUUCGUUCAUCGCACCUUCUUUGUCUCACACCGGAAAACCUGCUCGGUAAAUAAAUGCCCCAACAAAUCCGCCACCAAAUCCUAUCGAUUCCAUCUCGCCAUGCCUCCCUGCCGCGACGUCGCCCUAUCUCCAUGCAUCAUCGCGCGCGCCUCCACACCAUCGCGUAGUCGUACUAGCCUCACUCCACGCGACCCCGACACCGAGAUUCUCGCCGUUCCGGUGAGUCGAGAUGAUCUUGCAGAGAAAGUACCAAGAUGGGAGAAGGGAUCGUCAAGCGGAUCUGAGCACCAUCCCGUGCUGUGGGUUGCCUUCGUGAGGUUGGCACCCCUCCUUCCUGAUGCUCCCCUUCUUCUCCCCCAGCGGCAGUCAUGGUGGCUCGGUGGCAGCCCCGCAGCAUCGAUGGGAGAAAUCCCAUGGGAAUUAUCGAUGGUGAAAGCCUCGUUGCCCAGGCUUCCUGCUUCGAUCUGCCCCACUGUCCUUUCAUGGGCCUCAAUCUGCCCCACAAUAUCAUCAACAAGCCAACGCCAUUAAAGUACAUCACGGCCUCUUUCUGGAGCAAUCAAUCGACCACUCUUCUUCCUGGGAUAAAGUAGCGGCCAAUGGAUCCAUCUGUGAGCGGCCGCAGCCGUCGUUACUUCCGGCAAGGAAAUAUCUUGGUCAUUUUACACUUGCAUUGUACGACAUGGAGGUCAAGAGGAUGUAUCCACCUCUCCUAGGUCCAGGACAUGCCUAUACACGUAGCAGCAGUGACAGUCUAUCAGGUUCUUUCUUCUCUUCAAGACGUUCAGUUUAUUUACAUAACUAUGUUUUGUGGCCCUUCUACAAGGAGAUUACAUUUGAGUCUUUUUUUCUUCCAUUGAGCUCUGGUGCUUGGGUAAUAUACGGGUUUAUUGCUUGUGGGGUUAACAUGCUAUAUAAAUUCAGAGCUUUAAACUAAUCUUGUGGUGAGUUCUUAUUGUAGGAUGCUAUUGCGUGGUCUUUUCUGCCCAGGUAACUAGAAUGUUUUCUAUUUUAAUUUAUCUUGAUUACUUGUUGAUGAAGUGAAGUGAUCUAAUCAGACAAUUCAAUUGACCAACGGGACGAUUCCCUCAAGUGAGGAUUUGAGAUGAUAAUUGAGAUGUAGAUGACAAAGGUUUUCACUAGGUAACGGUAUUUUUGUUUAUAAGAGGUAAUGAUAUCAUGCAUUCAUGGACGAAGGUCUGGAUUAAUUAUGCUUAGGAGGCGGCGGUAUAGUGUUGUCUCUUAAUUAAUAUAGGCGGAUGAUGAAUUUGAUCUGCUCCGGUCAGAGUCCGACUGGAUACAUACUAUAAUAUAGCAAUGUGCAAAUACAUGAUUGAUGAUUGUCACUUUAAGUUCUUUCGCGAAGUCCAAUUGAUGAUGAUUAUUACUGCAAGGAUACAACCACAGAGGGAGUAUUAUCGCAGGUCACAGGUCGCGCUCCGGUCAGAGUCCGACUGGAUACAUACUGUAAUAUAGCUCCGAGGACGGCUGGAUCAGUGAGCUAAACUAAUCAUUAAUCAUUUUUUGCAUCUUCUUCUUAUUUUGUUUCCUUCUCUGUCCCGCUUUUCUUCUCCUUGCACCCUAAAUUAGUAUAUUAGGUUCAUAAUAAAUCAAAUAUUUCUCUGACUUGCAUUGUUCAACUUUCUAUUGCCGUUCCAAUGUUUGUCUUUUCUUCUCUAUAGUAAGAAGUUGUACCUGUCUGCAGGUCAAAGAAAAAAUAUGCAGAUUUUGCCUCUAGGAUGUAUCGUGCCGAUGCAAUUACUGGGAAGUUCUUGUGGGAAUUGCACACAUCUAGGGAUAUAGGGAUCAAGAUGUGGUAAAACUCACGUGAGUUGGACUUAUUGUUCUUGAGCGUGAGAUGAUUACAUGUGUACCCCGGAUCUGGUUGAGAUAAUGUCCAUCACUCUCCUCUGUAGGCGUGUAGCGCUAGGUUGCGGGCCUGCCGUAAGCCUCCUCCCUCGAGUGCCAGAACCAACAACAAGCGGCGGAGAAGAACAUGCAUGGGCGUGCUGUCGGGGUCAUGUAAUUAGUUUCUAGGAUGUGAGAUCCCGAGGGUCUAAGACAUAUCACUAUAAUAAUAGUGAAUGCAAUACUUUUUAAGCACGUGGUCUAAGACAUAUAUGUAUAAAUAGUGAAUGCAAUAAUUUUUCUGUAUAUGAAAAUUAGAAAUAUGUUAUAACAAGGUGUGCAGGAUAUUUUACUAUUGAAAUAUUAGGUAGAUGCAGUAUGAACAAUGUUCUUUAGUUCAGUAUAAAAAGGUGGCAGAUGCAUAUCAACAGCUCAAAUUUUGAUGUUUCGUUUGUGAUUACAGGCUAACCCAGAGAGGAACGUGGUUGUUGCUGCUGCUUGAGGACUCCACUGAAAAAUAGAAGAGAAGAUGAAGAGAAGAGAAGAGAAAGGCCUGCAGAUCUUGAUGGAGAUCAUAAAAAUUUGUCUGCACACUGGUAACUUCUACCUAUUUUUCUGUAUAAGGGUAUAUGGUUUUUAAUAUUAGGUAGAGAUUCUGAUACUUUCUAAUUGCGGAACAUAUCACUGCGUAGAAUCAUCAGAAGUGAUUUUUAUUUUGAUGUUUCGGUUAUACAGGUUGGAGAAAUCUGAAUGUUCAGGUUGGAUCAGUAACCACUUAAUAGCUGCACAAUGCGCUCCAACUAUGCUUUGGUUGAAAAGCAUCUACUAAGCCACCCUUCCAAAAUGCAUUAAGGUUGCUAUUUCUUAUAUACAAAACCUGAACUAACUGUAGUUAACUAUUUCAAUUUUCUCACAUCUAACUAUUCAGAUGUUGUGAUUAUAGGCUAACCCUAUUAUUUAUGACUUGUGAUUUGAUUUUUGUAUUGACGAUAUCUGAAUUAGUAAUACUUGCUCGAGCUUAUAAUUUAUUACUACUGGAAAUUCUGAUUCCUUUUCACCAUGUAUAUAUCCGUGUUCCCGGUUACCUCCUACUGCAGUUCUUUGUGAAACUGACGGUGAUGGAACUUAAAAAAUCACAGACUUGAUAAUUCACAAAGGUUGAGCAGUGAAUGCCGGUCAUGUGAUUUUGGCUGCUACUUACUCCCUGCCCCAUUGUGAAACUACGGACAUGGCUUAAAUAAUUAGAUUGCCUAACAUACCUCAAUUAUGUGUGCAAUUAAGUCUGCAAUGUAGCAUUUUGAAUAUCUUCAUAUUGUCUGUAGUGACCGCACUUAGUCUUCGCCAGCUGCUGGCUUCAAUUUCUCCUAAAUCUGUAUGUUCUUAUAUAAAGAUUAAUGAACCUGCUCAUGUGAUAGCUCACGUGUGAAGGGAAGUGUCCGUCUAGCUGUGGCUGCUUCAGUUGCCUAUGAUUAUUUGAACUUCAUUGAUGUUGAUUAAUAUUUGAUCUUUACCAAUUUUGAUCAUUUUAUAGAAGGCCAGUCUGCUUGUGCUAUAAAUGAUUGAUCUAUUAAAUAUUUUAUGUGCCUGAUCGUCUGCCGUGAAACUGAAAUAUACACUGCUUGAUUUUCGUUGUACAUUUCACUCUCGCAACCUUCUUAUCUACAUGAGCAUUUCAACUGAUGUACUACAUACAUUUAUAAUUUGUCGGUAAAUAAAUUCUGAGAAUGAGAAAUGGUUUCGCAUUUGUUUCUGGAGUUUGCACUUUGAUGUUUCCUUAUUUUAGUAGACUGGCACAUUUUUUUUGAACUUUUAUGUUAGCUGAUUGUAAACAUGUAUCGUGAAAAUGAUUCGGCUAUUUUUUAGGUGGCAAAAUACUAUAUUAUAAUUUUGGUGGUAAUGUUAUUGUAGUAAAACUUACCUGGAAUGUUCUUGUCCUAUGUCAUUUUUGUUGUUAGGUUAUUUGUAGAAAAUUUGACAAUUGUUUCCAAUUAUUUUCAUUCUCAAUGUAGGCAAGUCAAGUGUCAUAAUAUGGCGACGAUUUGUUCUCCCUAGCAGUGCGCACUCAUUAGUACAUCAGAUUGUUGAUAUGGCCAGCAAUGGAUUAUUAUGCUAAUAAUGUAUACGAAAUUGAUAGAGAAUGGAAUUUAUUUCGCGGUUGAUCAGUUUAGAGCUUUGCUCUCUGCAUACCUCCAUCUCAACUA